GAAAUGCGAUAAGUAAUGUGAAUUGCAGAAUUCAGUGAAUCAUCGAAUCUUUGAACGCACAUUGCGCCCGCCAGUAUUCUGGCGGGCAUGCCUGUCCGAGCGACAUUUCAACCAUCAAGCCCCCGGGCUUGUGUUGGGGACCUGCGGCUGCCCGCAGGCCCUGAAAACCAGUGGCGGGCUCGCUGUCACACCGAGCGUAGUAGCAAUCACCUCGCUCAGGGCGUGCUGCGGGUUCCGGCCGUUAAACAGCCUUACAAAACCCAAGGUUGACCUCGGAUCAGGUAGGAAGACCCGCUGAACUUAAGC
rnacentral:misc_RNA from 1 species